rnacentral:tRNA from 1 species
GCGGACGUGGCGAAACGGUAGACGCAGCGGACUUAAAAUCCGCUCCCCGCAAGGGGGUAUGGGUUCGACUCCCAUCGUCCGCACCA